rnacentral:rRNA from 1 species
GUAACUGACGCUGAGGCUCGAAAGUAUGGGUAGCAAACAGGAUUAGAUACCUGGUAGUCCAUACCGUAAACGAUGAAUGCUAAGUGUUGGAGGGUUUCCCCUUUCAGUGCUGCAGCUAACGCAUUAAGCAUUCCGCUGGGGAGUACGGCCGCAAGGCUGAAACUCAAAGGAAUUGACGGGGGCCCGCACAAGCGGUGGAGCAUGUGGUUUAAUUCGAAGCUACGCGAAGAACCUUACCAGGUCUUGACAUACUAUGCAAAUCUAAGAGAUUAGACGUUCCCUUCGGGGACAUGGAUACAGGUGGUGCAUGGUUGUCGUCAGCUCGUGUCGUGAGAUGUUGGGUUAAGUCCCGCAACGAGCGCAACCCUUAUUAUCAGUUGCCAGCAUUAAGUUGGGCACUCUGGUGAGACUGCCGGUGACAAACCGGAGGAAGGUGGGGAUGACGUCAAAUCAUCAUGCCCCUUAUGACCUGGGCUACACACGUGCUACAAUGGAUGGUACAACGAGUUGCGAACUCGCGAGAGUAAGCUAAUCUCUUAAAGCCAUUCUCAGUUCGGAUUGUAGGCUGCAACUCGCCUACAUGAAGUCGGAAUCGCUAGUAAUCGCGGAUCAGCAUGCCGCGGUGAAUACGUUCCCGGGCCUUGUACACACCGCCCGUCACACCAUGAGAGUUUGUAACACCCAAAGUCGGUGGGGUAACCUUUAGGAACCAGCCGCCUAAGGUGGGACAGAUGAUUAGGGUGAAGUCGUAACAAGGUAACCA